GAAAUGCGAUACUUGGUGUGAAUUGCAGAAUCCCGUGAACCCUCGUCUUUUGUUUCGUGCCGUUAGUCGCAAGGGAAACUCUAAGAAAACCCCAACGCGUCGUCUUUUGACGGCGCUUCGACCGCGACCCCAGGUCAGGCGGGACUACCCGCUGAGUUUAA
rnacentral:misc_RNA from 1 species